rnacentral:lncRNA from 1 species
GGGGCACAGGAGGCAGGGACAAGUGUGGUUUGGGACGUAAUGAGUGUUCCAGUUAUCUACUGCAGUACAAUAAAUGACCUCAAACUUAGUGGCGAACAACAGUAACUAUUUUUUUAUGCAGUAGGUAUGGUCAUCUCUGCUGCCACUUGGGCGCCUCUGCUGGAAAGACUGGAGCUGACUCACAUGACUGGGACUGGAAUAGCUGGAGUUGCGAGUCACUUCCAAGAUGACUUUUCUACUCACGUAUCUGGCACCUUGGGGUAGAAAACUGGAAGGCUGGCCUCUGGAAGGCUGCUGGUUGGAAUGCCUACCUGUGGCCUUCCCUGCAUGGCAGCCUCAGAUGAAGGAACGUGACCCUGAGAGGUUAGGUAACAUUCUCAAGGUCAUGCAGCUGGAAAGUGACAGUGCUGGAACUCAGAAACCUGCUUUCCUGCUGCCCCAGACCCAGCUCUUCCCACGGCAGGCAGCUGCUCCGCAGCAGGAGCAGGCUCAGCUCAGGCCCACUCCCACACCCACCCACACUGUGGGAUUAGCUUCCUGGCAAAGCCGCUGUGUUUCUGGUGCUGAUGUGGUCCUGCCGGGAGAUGCCGCCACGGCUGCCUCGGCCCUCGCCCACCACCGGCAUGUCUAAAAUUUACUGGAAGCAAAAAGCAGGCAACUGUGACAGCAGCCUAAAACAUUGACACAUUGGGAAAAUGAAUCUAUCCACCCAUCAGACACGCUGAAACUGCCUGUCAAGAAAUAACAGUGUAGGGGCUCUCUGUUAAAGGUCACCCUCUAGGCCCUGAGGAAUUUUUCCUGAAUUACAAAGGAGGAACAGAUCAAAUGCCUGUCAUAACACACUUCAGAAAACAAGGAGCAACCAGAAGUUCCCAUUCAUCCAAGGAAUCUUUGGAAAUCCUGCUUUGGGUGGAGUGACAUUUGCUAACAAUAAAAACAGUUCACUUGGCAGGCGGCCUUGGGUAGGGCCAAAGCUGACUGGCGCACUGUCCCUCCAGAUACUGUGUGUCACCUCUCAAGGCUUCCAGGAAGUUCGCAGAACAGCAGGAACCGGGUCUCGCCUUGGUGGGUCCCAGCCCACCCUCCCACGCAGGCUUCCUCUCCACCCACAUCACAAGGGAAGGAGCUCCAAACAGAGCUUUCUUCUUCUGAAGCCCAGUGGGGCUACUUCACCUUUUCCCACAGUUUUAGCUGACCUGGGUCAGCUUAGGAAGAGGCGCAGGCAGAACCACUCACAGAUUUGUGUGUUUCCAACAACUUAUUUGGGUUCCUGUCCAAUUCAGAUUCUGAGGCGUGGAAUCCUGGACGGCAAAAUCAAAAAACAUCCCAUCAGCUAUGCGGCAAUGGGUCUGAGUUAACAAAGUUGCUACUCUUCUUUACCUGGGUUUUUUUUUAAAAAAGCAUUAAAAUAACAACUAAUAUUUGUAAUG